GUGGAGAGUGGCGUCCGGGUGAGGAACACGUAGCUGAUCUACCCUUCGCAGGGGGAUAACUUCGCGAAAGCGAGGCUAAUACCGCGUACGCUCCGGGGAUUUAGAACCCCUGGAGGAAAGUUCCGGCGGCGAAGGAGGAGGCUGCGUUCCAUCAGCUAGUUGGUGAGGUAAUGGCUCACCAAGGCGACGACGGAUAGGGGACCUGAGAGGGUGACCCCCCACACUGGUACUGACACACGGACCAG
rnacentral:rRNA from 1 species